rnacentral:SRP_RNA from 1 species
GCCAGGCGCGGUGGCACGUGCCUGUAGUCCCAGUUACUUGGGAGGCUGAGGCUGGAGGAUCGCUUGAGUCCAGGAGUUCUGGGCUGUAGUGUGCUAUGCGGAUCGGGUGUCAGCACUAAGUUUGGCAUCAAUAUGGUUACCUCCCGAGAGUAGAGGACCACCAGGUUGCCUAAGGAGGGGUGAAGCUGCCCAGGUCGGAAACAGGAGGUAAAACUCCUGUGCUGAUCAGUAGUGGGAUCGCGUCUGUGAAUAGCAACUGCACUCCAGCAUGGGCAACAUAGCGAGACCCCAUCUCU